rnacentral:rRNA from 1 species
GUGCCAGCCGCCGCGGUAAUACGGAGGGUGCGAGCGUUUAUCGGAAUUACUGGGCGUAAAGCGCGCGUAGGCGGCUUGUUAAGUCGGAUGUGAAAUCCCCGGGCUCAACCUGGGAACUGCAUCCGAUACUGGCGAGCUGGAGUGCGAUAGAGGGGGGUAGAAUUCCUAGUGUAGCGGUGAAAUGCGUAGAUAUUAGGAGGAAUACCGGUGGCGAAGGCGGCCCCCUGGAUCGACACUGACGCUGAGGUGCGAAAGCGUGGGUAGCAAACAGGAUUAGAAACCCUCGUAGUCC